UCCCUUGUGGCUCAGCUGGUAAAGAAUCCGGCUGCAAUGCGGGAGACCUGGGUUCAAUCCCCAGGUUGGGAA
rnacentral:tRNA from 1 species